rnacentral:rRNA from 1 species
UACGUAGGGCGCAAGCGUUGUCCGGAAUUAUUGGGCGUAAAGAGCUCGUAGGCGGCUUGUCACGUCGGGUGUGAAAGCCUGGGGCUUAACCCCGGGUCUGCAUUCGAUACGGGCAGGCUAGAGUGUGGUAGGGGAGAUCGGAAUUCCUGGUGUAGCGGUGAAAUGCGCAGAUAUCAGGAGGAACACCGGUGGCGAAGGCGGAUCUCUGGGCCAUUACUGACGCUGAGGAGCGAAAGCGUGGGGAGCGAACAGG